GCAACGAGAGUCCGCGCGAGGCGCGCCUGCGCAGAAGCGCCAGGGCAUCGAGGCCUAACCGCAGUUCUGCUGUGAUCGGCUGGAAGGCGGAACCUUUGGGGGCUGGAUUAUCAGCAUUUUCACCGCUGUCGAAAAAUCACCGGGCCUUUUCGGAAUGUGCUCCCCUACCCAGAUUCCAGGACCGCAGCCGUCCGGCCAAGUCAGCUCUAAUUUCUUCCUAGAUUCUCAACAGCUGGAGGGAGACCUUCCUGAAGCACUCCUGACUCCAUCCCCAGCCCCCCACGAUUCCAAGCCUGAGCCUCCGGGUGUCUGCUGUGGCCUGGGGUUGUCUCUGAUCCCUCCUUUUCUUCCCCCAAACACUGUUAAUUCAUAAAAAUUCAGGAAUUCCCAUCUCAAACCUGAUGGUCUUCCUUUGUCCCCUCCCCUUACUGUAUAUUCCAAGAAAAGCUUUUCUUCCCCCAAACUCGGUGAAUUCGUAGAAAUUGUGGAAUUCCAAUCUCAAACCUGACGGUCUUCCUUUGUCCCUUCCCCUUGCUGUAUAUGCCAACAAAACCUUUUCUUCCCCCAACAAACACCGUGAAUUCAUAAAAACUGUGAAAUGCCAAUCUCAAACCUGAUGGUCUUCCUCUGUGGACAGAUUGGGUCUUUGGGUGGUUCAGAGAAAGAAUGAUAACAAUAUAAUAGUAAUAAUGA